ACAUGAAUCACCCAGGAUUUUGCUAAAAUUUAGAUUCUCCUUCAGUAGAGCUAAAUGGGACUUCAGAUUCUGAUCUUUUAACAAGCUCUUUGGGCAUGCUGGU
rnacentral:miRNA from 1 species